GACAGAGGGUGCAAACGUUGUUCGGAAUUACUGGGCGUAAAGCGCGUGUAGGCUGCUCGGUAAGUCGGAUGUGAAAGCCCUGGGCUUAACCUAGGUAGUGCAUUCGAAACUCCCGAGCUUGAGUUCUGGAGAGGAAGGCGGAAUUCUCGGUGUAGAGGUGAAAUUCGUAGAUAUCGAGAGGAACACCGGUGGCGAAGGCGGCCUUCUGGACAGUGACUGACGCUGAGACGCGAAAGCGUGGGGAGCAAACAGG
rnacentral:rRNA from 1 species